rnacentral:lncRNA from 1 species
AUAUUCAGGGUGGAAAAUGCAGUCACCCAUCUCUGGGAUCCUCCUCUUCUCUUUGAGCUCGGGAAGAGUGGGACUGGAGGCCUGGAGGGGCCAUGGCAGGUUCCAGGAGAAAUGGACCCUACUUCUGGGGCUCUAGUAGGGAGCUGGGAGCUGGGGGAGGGGGGGUUGUGGGGACAGGCUUCUUUGUUCCCAGACCCAGGCCUGGCCUGGAUUUUUCUGGAGGGGACAGUGGGAGGGAGCCCUGGCUCACAGGGAGAACUGGGAUUUGGUUAUUAAACCAAGUUGCAAGUUCAGUCUGCUUUCCAGCCAACUUUUCUUCCCACCUCACUUUCUCCUCCAGAUAAUAGAAAUACCCUGGAGGGGUUCCUUUUCUCCCUGGCAAGCUGAGGGAGGCAGGGGCCCUGCCAUUGGCCACUCCCUGGGCCUGGGCCAACUCCCCACCCCCGCAACAAGGGGUGCAAUUACAUCAGCUGCUCUCUCUCAGGCUCUGGCUGUUGCUGGGGGAGGUCCUUGCCCUACUCUGAUGCUGGCCUCCUGACUUUUGACUUUCUCUGACCCCUUCCAGGCCUUGAAAUCAUGGCAGCAGCAAGACCCAACUGGGGCAGCAUCAUGUCUGGGUUUGAAUCCCGGUUCAGCCACUUUCCAGCUGUGUGAUGUGGGGCAAGUCAGGUAACCUCCUUGGGCCUCAGUUUCCCUAUCUGCAACUGGGGAUGACAAUAGUGCUCUCUUCCUAGGUUUGUUCUGGGUAAUCACUGAAUUAAUAUUUGUUAGGUAUUUGUGUUUUACCUUGCACUAUGUACGUGUUGGUUAAAUAAAUACAUCAUUUCCCUAAUGAUGGCCAGCUAAGGAAUAGGUGGAUGGGGUGGGUCACUGACCCACUAACCCCUGGCUUCAUGCUUCAGCACUUACUCAUUCCCUGGCACUUAGCUCUUAUCCCUGCAUAGACCCAGGAAGUCUGUGACUUUUUGCUCUCUUUCUCAGGGUUUAAAUUCCACCCCUACUAUUUACCCUCUGUGGCACUUUGUCUCCUGGGGCAGGGAUAUCACAGCAGAACACAGAGGCCAGCUCAGGAGAAAGUCUCCCAUCCUGACUUGUCUCUCCUCCACUUGUGCCACAGCAGCCACCCCCAGGGAGGCCUGAAGGGAGGUGCCCCAAGUGGCAGGUCUCUUCCCAGUGCCUUAGGUCUUUGCUGUUCUGGAGAGGAAGUGGCAGCUUUGCCUGCUGGGCUAGGGACUUAGGUUUUGGUUUGAGCAUGGAAAAGACUCAUUCACAGAAACUCCCCUGCCUUCCUGAGGCAAUGAUCCUGAUCCACUAACCAGCUGCUCUCGCUGGGGCUGGGGGAGUGCAGGGGGCUUUGCUCGCCUUGAAGGGCUGGUGGAAGGAUUCCUCCCCAGCUUCUCCCUUUUCCCCAGGCUCAGAUCCCACCAGGACUGCAACCCUUAGCCCUGUCUGGUCUCCCCUGCAACCCUUGAGGCCACCCUGGAGGCUCAGCCAUCCAUUCACCCCAGGUGGGUCCCACACUGCCUUAGCUGCCUCUUCCUGGCCCUGUGGCAGCCUGCCUCCUCUCCCCUCCCUCCUCUGGUUGCUCUCAUUGUGGGUCUGGAAACUGAGGUAGCCUUGUCGCUGGGGCCUGGCUUCUCGAUGCCCAGAGUCCUCCAGCUCUAUUCUGCUCUCAAAUAUGGAGCAAGCACCCACACUGUGCUCUCCAGUGCCUGGCUCUGAUGGAAAGGGCCAGUUGGCCCUGGUCACCAGGGAGCCUCUUGACCAGAGUGCAGCCCUCAAAGAAAAGCCAAAGGUCCAUGAGAUGUCUUCCUUCCCUCCCCUCCCCUCCCCUCCCCUCCCCUCCCCUCCCCUCUGCUCCCUCCCAGAAAUGUUCAUUGGGCCCUGCCUUUGUAGCAGGUGUGGGCUGGGCCCUGACCAUAGAAGAAGACUUCCUUGCCUUGAAGUUCAGAGGGAACCUGGUUGCAGGCCCCAGGCAAGGCUUUCCUUUCUUUGAGUUCCACAGCUCUGCUCACUGAGGGGUUCCAAGGCAGAGGCUGAGUCUCCACCAUCAGAUCGUGGGCUCCCUGAGGGUAGGGCAUGUGGUUUCUGCCCCUCAGAAUCUUCUGCAUUCAUUGAUUCACAGUUCAUUCAUUUACAGCACUCAGGAAUGCUUCUGUGGGCCAGGUUGUGCCGGGCCUUUGUGAGCUGAUCUGUUUCAGCAGGUGCCAUCUAAACUGGUUUCUGGUGGAUGAGAAGAAGCUAGUUCUGGGAAGAGUGUUCCAGGCAGACAGAACAACACGUGCAAAGCCAGGAGCCUGAGAGCUAUUGGGGUAGGCUGAGGCAGGAAGGGGCUUUGAAGAUACAGUGACUCACAGGAAAGCAGGGGCCUGUCUGGGGAGCUGAGGAGAAAGAAGUCCUUGAGAAUGGUUGAAGAUUUUACUUCUGUGGCAGGAGAGAAAACCUAGGAGAGUGUCAAGUAUCAUUGCCCAAAGGAAGACAGGAAUUCAGCAUUCUGCGGAAUCCCUGACUCAUCGCUGGGGGUGGAGGGAGGUGGGAGAAGACUCGGCUGCCUGUGCUUCAUUUCUAGCCUUCCAGGAGGACGUCAGCAACCUCCUUGCAGAUUCCUUCCUCCUCUGCCCCCUCAACCUCCCUGCCCUUGCAGGGAAUGAAUCCCGGAGCUCUAGCUGUCAUCGAGUUCUCCCUGUUGUCUAAUCCUAGUCUCUCCUGCUGCAUUCUUGCGUGUCCUUGGAGAUUAACCACAAUUUGGGGCCUGCAGUGUCUUUUCCCAGUGCCUGGCAAAGGCACUCCCUAGCCUUAACCUGUCCCCACUACUGUCCUGGGCCACAGAGGCUGGGUCCAGGGCAUGGGGGUAGUUUCCAGGAGACAGUUUGAUCCUCAAACUGCAGGCCAAGCCUCCAUCUUGAUCUCCAGGAUUGCUUGAGGUCUUAAAUCCCACUGGAGAGGUCUAGAGAAGCCAGGAGAAGCCGAGGCUCUCUGUUCCUGUCUCUUUCUUACCAUGACUCUUAUUUCUCUUUUCCCUGUCUCUCUCCCCAUCUCUUUCUCUCUUCCACUCUCUCUCCACAGAUCCCACCCCACCCCAACCCCCACCCCCGACAUCUUUUUCUGGUUCGGUCUUCCCCUCCCUCCUUCUUGCUCUCCUUUUCUUUCAGUCCCUUGCCCUCCCUACCUGUAGGACUCAGUCUCCAUUCCCAUCCCUAGCCCUCUUUCUCUCUGAUGGCCCCUGGCAGUGCUCGGGAAUGAGAAUGAGGAGGUGGACUUGUGGGGCUGCAGGUGGCCUGGCAAGUGGCAUUGUGCAAGAUAGCUCUCUUCCUUGUUAGGGUCUGAGGGGAUUUGGAGGGCCGGCCCUAGUCAGCAGCCUGGCUUUCAUUCCAGGCCUGUUGGAGGAAUUCAUAAUAAAGGGCCUGGCACUGAAGUCCUGGGUGGCUUUAAUUUUCUGGAAGAGAGGCAAUCCAGUUGCUUCCCUAAGGGGGAAACCCUGUGUACCCAGCUGAGGGAAGGUGAAGAGCAUGUAGUAGUUAGGGUUUAAGCCUCCCCUGCAAAGUGUCCACCUCCAAACUGUUGGUGGGACUGAAGACAAUAUUUUGUCAUGGAGAGGGGACUGGUUGAGAGGCAAGAAACAAAGGAGGAAGGAGACCAGACCCUUCUCUGGCCAGUCAGUAGCUUCCCUGGGUACCUGAGCCAGACUGGGUAUGCCUGCCCUCUUUAUGGGCAUCUGAAGGAGGCAGGAGAUGAAAAUCUCCGAGUAUGCAGAGGAAAUGAGCUCCUAGAGAAGAGGCGAGGACAACGGAAACAGUCAGUGGUCCUGGGGUGGCAUGAUAGGCCUGGAAAGCCGGGAGGAGUGUUUCCUCCAAAAAGCAAGCAAUGCCUUUUGGGGAGAAAAUGAAGCUAUGUUGGCUGGAUUCUGGGGGCUCCUGUGAAUGAGUGGUAGAGAUGCUGUCCCUGGGGGUCAAUAGGCCUGGGGCUCAAGUAAGGUCUGCUUACACCAGGGAUGGACAGAUGUCAGAGGGCCCUGCAGUCUACACAGCUGUGUGGAGCACCGUGCAGAAGCCGAGGGCCUGGCCCCCAGCCCUUAAAGCCUGGACCUGGGAGCUCAGGACUUCCUCCCUCUUGAAGUGGUGGGUGAGCCCUGAAUAUUUUACCUGAACGUGACACAGGGCCGGGGGAGGGAACUGUGAGAAGAGGAGAGAGUUUAGUAACUAUCUUGGUGGCAGGCCCAGAGUGGGUGACCAAGGGCGCUGGGGCUUGUAGGGCUGAGGGCAGAGCACACCACUGCCCACCACCAGAGCCCCAGGAACCCCCAGGACAGUGUCCCGCUCUUCUUCUGAGGUCCUUCCCCUCACUGCCUCUGUCUUUCUGUGUCUGUUUUCGACCCCCCCUUUCUUUGUCCCUUUCUUCUUUCUUGUCCUGUUCUCUGGUCGUAACUCUCCCAUCGGGCCCUCCUGUCUUUCUCUGUGUCUGUCGCUCUCUGGCCCCCACAUCAUGGUUUCUUCAUACUAUCUAGUACAAGGGGAACCCCCUCUCUCCAUAAACCCACUGGAUACUGGGUGACCCCUGCCUGUGUGUGUGUGGUGGGGGGGUGCAUGCACUGAGCACAGGGUGCAGGGGGGUGCGUGUGCCCCAGGCAGGAGUGAAGGGCGUGGGUGAGUGUGGAGGAGCUACUGGUUGAGCCAAGGUGGGGCAGGCUGUGAAGGGUCUGGUUGAAGAUGGAGGGGUGAGGGCUGGGGUGGGGGCUCCUGUCGCCCUGGGUGGACUGCAGGGUUAGGCUUUCUCAGCAGAGGCAGCCCUAGCUCUGCCCCUGGGCUCCAGCUUAUUCUAGGGAAAUUUCAAGAGCCAGCCCCACCAUGGCCAGCGCACACAAAGCACAUUGUUCCACUCCCCAGGCCCUUGCCCCUGUCCCUGCCAGGGUUGCUGCCAGUUCCUGGAGGCAAGCUGGCAGCCUCACUCCUGAGGCCAGGGCUGCUCACCUGGCUCAGUGGGAGUUCCUCCCCUGCUGACUCGUCACCGUCUUGAGCAGGGCCAGGAGCAUGCCAGGCUUGCUGACCCUCAGAAGUGGCUCCCAGUGGCCCUUUCUGCCAGCUGUCCCCUCCGCACACCUUUCCCCAUUCCAGGAACUGGCCCGGCUGUUCUGCCCUGUGUUCCUACCCCAGCUUUUUCUUUCUCAUGAGUCUUAGCAGAGAUCAGGUCUCCCACGUGGGAAGAUUGCCCUCUCUUUACUCCAUAGUUCAGGCAUCAGUUCCUGUCUGCAACUCACCUCCUCUUGGAGGCCUUCUUUGGUUACCCACUCUCCAUCUCAGAUAGCCCAUUCCUCCUUGCUCUGCCAGACUGCUGGACCCACAGCAGACACACUACAUGAUAUCCAAGUUUCCUGGCUAAGUGCCAUCCCAGGGAGCAGCCUGGGGCAAGAGGGGGUACUGACCAACACCCACCACCUGCCAGGCACUUCCCAUGCAUUAUUCACUUUGUUCCCGCAAUAGCACCCCGGUGCUAUUAUCCCCAUUGAACGGAUGAGGAAACUGAGGCUCUGAGAGGUCAACUGAUUUGCCUGAGGUCACACAGCAAAAUUUCAAAGCUAAGACACUGUCAAAAUGAUGUGGGGAUGGCAGGGGCUUCCAGGGCAGAGGGAAACAAACCAUCCAAGGGAGUCAGUAUGUCCCAGCUCCAGGGCAUGUUAGGAUGGAAAGUCCAGAUGUUGCUACCAGAGUUUGGGAUGGAGGCAGGAAGAUGGAUGAAACGACCUCUUGCGGGCUUGCCUGGGUUUAGCAUACUCUCUGACCUUUCAGUGAAGAACCCGCAGCACCCCUUUCAGAGGGCUCCCCGCUUUGCCUCCCCUGAGGCAAACACUUAAUAGCUCCCAGGCCCCGCCCAGUUCUCCCCAGACCCACCUCUUGUUCCCCUCCUCAGGAUAGGCUCCAUGGUGCCUGGGGAAACCUGGCUCAGAGCAACCCCCUUCUUCCUGCUCCAGUGGGCACCCUACGCUGCUCCCCUCCUUGAACCACUUAGGCUAGGAUACACCUAGGAUUUCUACCCAUGGCCCUCCUCUGACUUUGCGGUAUCAGAAGAACCUGGACUCAGACUUCCCAUCCCUGGUGACCAUCCAUAGCGCCCAUCCCUCCAUCUCCCUCCUUUUCCCAUCCUGUCUGUGCUCCUCUUUCUCUCUUACCUUUGAUGUACCUACUAUGUGCAAAACUGUGCUUGUGUCAGACCCAUGGCCUGAAUCUAUGCUAAGCAGGUCCAUUGACGGCCACCCAGACGAGAACAUGAAAUAGGGUAAAGGGGUGCAGGCAGUGUAUUGUGAGAGCUCCAGGGCAACAGCGAGUGCAGGCGGGUGCCAUCUCAGAAGUUUUCCUGGAGAGAUAGCGUUGAACAGAGCCUUGGAGGAUUCUGAUAGGCAGGGAAGGGGGCAUUUGUGGAAGGCAGGCCUGCAGGCUGCUCCCCAGUGUGGAAAGGCCAGAGGAGUUUUCCAUCUUGGACUGUGAGCUGCUAGGCAGGGCCCGUAUCCUCCAACACAGUGCUUUUCAAGCUACCUGAAAGAACGACUAGUUUUUUUUUUUUUUAAAUCCCAAUCUGUCGGCCGGGCGCAGUGGCUCAUGCCUGUAAUCCCAGCAAUUUGGGAGGCUGAGUCAGGCAGAUCACUUGAGGCCAGGAGUUCGAGACCAGCCUGGCCAAUGUGGUGAAACCCCAUCUUUACUAAAAAAUACAAAAAUUAUCUGGGUGUUGUGGCACACACCUGUAAUCCCAGCUAUUCGGGACGCUGAGACAUGAGACUUGCUUGAACACAGGAGGUGGAGGUUGCAGUGAGCCGAGAUUGCGCCACUGCACCCCAGCCUGGGCGACAGAGCGAGACUCUGUCUCACAGAAAAUUCCAUAUUGUAUAAUGCAAAGAAAUGAUUAGAAAGAUAAAAUAAGACAAAGUACAGUUUUUUUUUUUUUUUUUAGACAGAGUUUUGCUUUGUUGUCCAGGCUGGAGUGCAGUGGCACGAUCUCCGCUCCCUGCAACCUCCGCCUCCCGAGCUCAAGCAAUUCUUGUGCCUCAGCCUCCUGAGUGGCUGAGAUUACAGGCACCUGUGACCAUGCCUGGCUGAUUUUUUUGUAUUUUAGUAGAGACGAAGUUUUACCAUGUUGGCCAGGCUGGUCUUGAACUCCUGAGCUCAGGCAGUCUGCCCGCCUCAGCCUCCCAAAGUGCUAGGAUUUCAGGCUUGAGCCACUGCGCCCGGCCCAAACUCCGAUUUUGUAUUGUGGGAUUCAAGAGAAAAAAUUGCUAUAAAGAGUCUAAAUGCCUGUGCUUGGUCUCCGCACGGACUUUGUCCCUGGCUGGUCACAACCCUAACAGUAGGUUGUGACCAGCAUUUGAAAAACAUGAAGUAGAAUAGAAUAGAAAACAGAGUGCUUUACAUGUUGUAGGGGGAAGUGUAGUUUUGCGCAAUGUUCAUUUCAAGUUUCUGCACACCCAUGUGUGUUGGCAUUGGGUUGGGGGUGAAAUGCAUUACCGUGGGUUGUAGUUGGGUGCCCUCCCAUGGUGCCGUAGGGGCUGGAUCUCCUCUCUGGCUCUCCUGUCCCCAUCCUAGCUCCGUUGCCCUCCAUCUAGAGUCUGUUUCUUCAUCUCCUCCUCUCCCAUCUCUGUCCCUCUCCUGGUUCCACAGCAAUGGUCCUGCUCAGUAAACCUUGGCCCUUCCACUUUCCUGAUUGUUUUUUCUAGACAGUCUUCCUCCUCCCUUACCUUUAACAGAAGCUGUCUUCCUCCUGGAUCCUAUGUAAUCAGGCCCCAACCACUAUGCUUAGCCCAGGGCAGCCCUGAGACACAGAAGAGGGAGUCCCUGCCCUUGAGAAGGGAGUGGCAGUGCUGGGGAGUCAGAGCUGUACUGGGGAGUCAGGGAAUGGAAUGUAUAAUGCAAAGAAAUAUGUGACAGGAACUGAACCAGGAGCCUGGCCAAAGGCUCCUCCUUCCAAGCUGGUGAGGAGAAGACCUGGUGCUCGAUGGAGGUCCACAGUUGGUGGACCACGCAACCCUAUCCAGGGCUCCCACUUGGCUGGUGCCUCCUCUUUUGAGGUUCUGCUGAUGCCCAGCUCCCACUCUAUGGACAUACUAACAUUUGUUUCAUCGAUUCUCUAUAAAUAAACCUCUGGGUUGCUUCCACUCUUUUUGGAAUCAUGAAUAAACAAUGCUGUAAUGAACAUCUCUGUAUCUCUCCCUCACCACACCUGAGCUACUGAUUCCCAGAGGUACCCUCACUCCAGCUCUUGUUUCUUACAUCUUUAUACACACACAAUCCAAAUUCCUCCUGCUUCUCUCAGCAUCCAGCUGGCCUGGUCUCAUGUCAUGAGGCUAAACAUGAGCCAGAGGUUUGGAAAUGUGGUCUCCUUCCUCAGGCCGUGCACCCUCCUUGCUCACAACUACUCAUUUGGUUUCUUCAUCCAUACUUGCCAAAUAUCUAGCUGUAUCCUCAGGGCUCUUUGACUGCAAGUAACAGAAACCCUGAUUCAAAAUGGUUUAGACAAUACAGGAAGUUUUCAUUUCCUGAGAAAAGUCCCUAGGGACCGUGGGUCUAGGGAGGGUAAUUGAGUGGAUCUAUCACAUAAUCAAGGAUCCAGGUUCUGUCUGUUUUUCUGCCCUGCUAUCCUCAGCGUGUUGAUUUGCUUCUCAGGUGCUAUAGCGCCCUUCAUGGUUGUAAGGUGGCUGCUCAAAGUCCAGACAUCGCAUCCAGACAUAAUAUGCCUGGAGGUUGAAGAGGGGCCAUAUCUUUCUCAAGGUCUGUUUUUCAAAUAAGGAGAACUUUUCCCUGGAGUGCCCCUAGAAAACUUACUCUUGAGUUCUCAUCAGCCAACAUUAGGCCACAUACCCAUUCCUUUAGAGAGAAUGAGGCUUCGCUAACUGGUUGGUGAGGCACAGGGCCUUACUGUGGAGGAGGCGGAGAGGGUUGGGUUUUAAAGGAGGAAAGGGGUGUGGGGACAGAGGCUGAGUAGACAACCAACCAUGAGUACCAAAGUGUCCCCAGUGGAGAGGACUCUGCUUCUGUGUUGCUCAACCAGCUGGCCCUGUGAUCCUACUCUGGAGAUUUACCUUGACUCUGAUUCAGUUAGAAAAUAUUUGUUGAGAAGAUGGAACUCCUGAGGAAGUUUGUUGUAAUGCGAGAGAGUGAGAGCCAGGUUAGGGUACAGGACUGGGAGAGAAGGCAGAAGCUGCCGAAGAUGCAGACAGGAGGUCUGAGCACUCCAGCCCUUCUCUCUGAGGGAAGGAGUUAGGAGGGACUCAGUGAGUCCCUGUUUGGGCUGGGUUGGACACAGGGGACUGACUGACUGAGGUAGCCUUUGAGGUAAGAGGUCUGGGUGGGAGGGCACCUAUCCCAAGCCAAGGUCCCCUAACUUUUCUCCUGACCCUCAGGUGGGUCUUGUCCUUGCCCCCUGAGCCACAGAAGGACAGGAAGAAGAGAAGGAGGGCUGUGAGUCAAGAGCCUACCUGGGGGGAAAGAAAAACACAGGAAGUGACUCAAGGCCUGUAGGGUGGCCAGGUGGCCAGCAAUGCCCCAGGAUGGACCCUGAGGGAGUUGGCUGAGGGCAAGGGUCCCCUCCCCAGAGGCUGCCGGUGCAUGCCAUCCUGGCUAUUUCUGCCAACCGUGUUUCCCACAAAUCCUUCCCCUCCUCACCACAGCAGGCUGCCCACUCACCCACAAACCCCGUGGCCAGCUGUUGCAAUUCCUGGCUCUGGUCCACCCCCUGCAUCCGGGAGGCUCAGCACCUCUGACCCCAGAGGGUGGGUCAACCCCUUCCCCUGCCUCUCUCCCUGGCCUUCACACCCUGAAGGAAGAGAUUCCAGAGCCACCAGAGGGUGGGGGUCUUCUGAGUCAAUCAGUGGCCCCUGUGUGCAUGCACGGCAAGGUGGAGGAUCUGGGCCCAGGCAGAGUGACAGGAUGUGAAGGUAGAGGGAGCCCCAGGAACCGCUGGAUCCUUUCUGUGUGCACUGUCAGAGGGGCCUUUGUCCUGCCCACUGGAGGCCAGGACCCCAGUGAGUAUUAAAGUGAUAUUUUGCCUGCCUUUACCACUGUUUUUAUGUAUUAAGCUUCCUUAGGGACCUCCAAAGAGAAGUGGAUGGGCCCAGGCAUGAUUAAAACAUAUUAUUUUAAAAAUAUGUUACACAUAAGGUUAACAAUUUGUUUUUUCACUUAUGUUAGACUUCCUUCCAUGAUGGUAUAUACAUAAAGCUUCCUUAUUCUUUUUUAUUUUUAUUUAUUUAUUAAAUAGAGACAGGGUCUUCUUAUAUUGCCCAGGCUGACCUGAAACUCCUGGUCUCAAGUGGUUGAUCCUUCUGCCUUGGCCUCCCAAAGUGCUGGGAUUUAAGGCAUGAGCCACCAUGCCCAGCCCCUUAUUCUUUUCAAUAGCAGCAGAGUAGUUUGCUCUGUGGAUGUGCUAUUAUUUACCUAACCACCUCCCUAUAAAUGAAGCUGUGAUUUGUUUCCCUUUUUAAAAAUUAUAAACAAUGCUGCCAUGAACAGCUUUGUACAUAUAUCUUUGGGCAGUUGCAUAAUAUCCUAGAAGUUAAACUGCUGGGUCAAAGAAUAUGAACAUUUAUUUAUUUAUUUAUUUAUUUUUAUUUUUUCUGGGAUGGAGUCUUGCUCUGUCAUCCAGGCUGGAGUGCAGUGGCGUGAUCUCGGCUCACUGCAACCUCUGCCUCCCGGGUUCAAGCGAUUCUCCUACCUCAACAUCCCGAGUAGCUGGGAUUACAAAUGCCCACCACCACGUCCAGCUAAUUUUUGUAUUUUUCGUAGAGAUGGGUUUCACCAUGUUAGCCAGGUUGGUCUGAAACUCCUGACUUCAUGAUCCGCCCGCCUUGGCCUCUCAAAGUGCUAGUAUUACAGACAUGAGCCACCGCACCUGGCCAGAACAUUUAAAAUUUAAGAGAUAACGCCAGGCCGGGCACAGUGGCUCACGAUUAUAAUCCCAGCACUUUGGGAGGCUGAGGCGGGCGGAUCAUCUGAGGUCAGGAGUUCAAGACCAGCCUGGCUAACAUGGUGAAACCCCAUCGCUACUAAAACUACAAAAAAAUUAGCCGGGCGUGGUGGGAGGCACCUGUAAUCCCAGCUACUCUGGAGGCUGAGGCAGGAGAAUUGCUUGAACCCAGGAGGCAGAGGUUGCAGUGAGCCGAGAUCGUGCCACUGCACUCCAGCCUGGACGACAAGUGUGAGACUCUAUCUCAAAAAAUAAACUAAACUAAAAUAAAAUAUAAUACAUAACGCCUAAUUGCGGCAGAGUGUACUAAUUUUCAUUUCAUUAGCAUUGCAUGAGAUUGCCUGUGUUGCCACGUCUUCCACAACGCUGUAUAGUAUCACCUUCUUCAUCUUCGUCAAUCUGAUAAAUGAAAAAUUAGAUCUUGUUUUAAUUUGCAUUUAAAAUGAUUAGUGAGAUUGAACAUUGUUUAUAUUUUCAUUAGCCAGUUGUGUUUUUUGUGAAUGACCUGUUUGUAUUCUUUGCCUAUAUUUUGCCAUUGGAUUGUUUAAUCUUUUUCUUACUGUUUUAAAAAAUGUCUUAUUUUAAAUUAGGAAAAUUAGCACUUUGUCAUACAUCUUGCAGGUACUUUUCUCUUAUUUUGUCCUUUGAUUUUGUUUAUGGAGCUUUUUCCUUGAAUGUCUGCGUAGGUACAUUUGUUAAUCUUCUUUGUUAUGACUUCUGUUUUGUUCUAUGACUAGGAAAAUCGCUAUCCCAGGUUCACGAAAACAUUUACACAUAUUUUCUUCUGGCACUUUUAUGACUAUUUUUAAAAUGUUUUCCUUUCUUUAAAUCUUUGAUCCUGUUGGAAUUUAUGUCCAUAUUAGGAGUGAUGUAGCGAAUCCAGAUUUAUUUAUUUUUGAUCCAAAUAUCUGACUAGUAUCUCAAUUUAUUGAAUUGAAUUCUCAUGUUUAUUUGGGCCUAUUUAAAAUUGUUUUAUUCUUUCCAAUUGAUCUGUAUGCAGGCACCAGUCCCACACUAUUUUAAUUAUUGUAGCUGUAUACUAUUUUUGAAAAAUGUUUUAUAGUGCUACUCUUUCCUUGUUAGUUUACUUAUUUUUCCUUCCAGGAAUGUUCUAUUCAUUUAUAUUUAUUUUUCCAGAGGAAUUUGUAUGUAAUCAUUUUGUCAAAUUAUCCCCCAAAAGCAGCUGAUAUUUUGUACAGAAGUAUGCUGAAUUUAUAGUUUAAUUAUGGUGACACUGACAUGCUUACAAUAUUACUGACUUUUUAUCCAAGGAAAAGGUCUUUCUCCAUCGAUUCAAGUCUAUGUGUAUGUCCCUCAUUUAGCUUUUACAGCUAUUUCCAUGUAUCUGCACAUUUUUUCUAUGUGUUUUAUGUUAGGUUUUUGUUAACCUUAUUAAUGGGAUGUUUUUCCAUAUUCUUUUAUUAGUUAUUUCUUGUAUUUAGGAAAUCUUGUUUUUAAACUAGCCACUUUGAUAAAUUCCUGAUAUUACUAAAAGUUCUUUAGCUGAUUCUCUUGGAAUAUCCAAGUAUAGAGUAAUAUCAUCCAAUGAUAAUAACUGCUUUCUUUUUACAAUAUUUAUACCUCUUAUUUUAUUUUUCAUCUAACUGCAUUGUCAAGUAAUUGCAGAACAAUAUUAAAUACUAAUGGUGAUAGUUUAUGGGGAGAGCUGACGUCAACUUUAACGGGACUGCUUUUAGAGUCUCCCCAUUAAACAUGUUGGGAAAAUUAAUCUAUUUUACAUGCUAAUAUAGUAGGUUAUGUUGAGUUUCCCAGAAUUUGGCUUUCUUGUACUUCUGGAAAGAAUCAUACUUAGUCUUGACACAUUCUUUUGUCAACACAACUUUCAUCAAUACUCCCUUCCUUAGCUCAGAACUUCCUCCGUCGUUCAUCUUCCUCCCUUGGAAGCAGAGGCACAAAAUCAGGGCUGGAGGUGUGAGGCGGGGGCAUGGCCAGGGAAGAGCUGAGGCUCAGGACAUAGCUGUUGGCCUCCUGUCCCGAAGGAAUGAGGAUCCACAAGAGCCUCCUUAAGGCUGACAGAGUAUGUGGAGACGAGCAGGGGGUUGAGAAGCCCUGGGGGCUGGAGAGGACUGAACAGCAGGGGGCAGGGGUCCUUGGAAGAAAACCAGGACUCUUCUGCUUGCCCCCUGAGGAAGCCCUGCACCUCUGUCACCCUCAGGACUAUCUUGAGCCCCAGUCUUUUGAGGGAGGCAUGAUCCAGAACUUUGGGCCUCUCCCAGGCUAGUGGACUCAAUGCAGGCACAGGUGGCUACUCUUACACUAGGACAGGGAGGCUAAAGGAGAGCCCUGAAGGUGGCAGGAGGUCAGGAAGAUGUCAGCCUGGCAUGGCUAUUUCUUAACAUUUGCAGCAUGCAGCCUUCAUGCAGCAGCUUCUGAAAGCAGUGACCACGUCCUCCCCCCUAUCUCCUCCAGCAUCCCUAGGACUGUUCUUUGGUCCUAAACAUAUGAAGUCACCGCACCCUCCCUCCAUUUCUUGAAGCAGUUUCGAAGUCCUCUGGCCAUGACCCUUUCUUAGGAACCUGGCUGACUUCAGCAUCACUCUUGGGUGAACAUUGCUGUGCCCAGGGCUUGUUGGAGAGAGGAGAGGGUUAGAGGGAGGGAGGGAGGGGAUUUUCCAGUGUCCCCUCUGUCCCCUCUGGGCAGGGAUUGAAGUGGCAGAGGGUGUGGGCGAUGUGCUGAGGCCAGGUAACCAGGAGACAAGAGAGCCCUUUAGAUGUCCUCCCUGAGCUGCCCUUCCUUUCCUUACAACUGUCAGCUCUAGGAGCACAGAAGAGGAAAUUCCUUGACCUAGAACCUUAGCAUCUUCCAGGCCUACAAACCUUUAAUUAAUGCAGUCAUUUAAGAGGAAGGAAGGUGGUUUUGUAACUGUGUUGUAUACCUGAGUGAGUAUAGACACAUUCUCCGCUCUUUCAUCAGGAGAGAAAAUAGAGCAUAUAGACAGGUGUGGGGGUAAACUGAGUUUUAGGCAAAGUGAGAAGAGCAUGGUCAGCCAUUGACAGGAGGCCAGCAAGAGUGAGUGGUGGACACCCUGCUCUGGAGGCAGGGGACUGAACGACGUCUGGAUGCUGACGAAGCUGUGAGCAUUAAAGGGUUCUUGAAUCUUUUCCUGCUACUUUUGGUGCAUCCCAGUAGGGACAACUGAAGCCAACCCUAUUUCCCAGCCAUGGGAGACUGGGAAUAUAGUGGGAAGACUGGUCAGCAGGAAGGGUCUCCUGCCAUCAGACUGGGGCUAAGGACAGAAGUACAGCUUCUGACAAGAAAGGCAAGAGCAAGGCGGGUCCCAGCCUUGGGGGAUCCAGGACCCUGGGCAGGCACUAAAGGCAGGGACUUGGAUAGAAAGAGGCAAGAUGGGCCCUGGAGGUUGGAUGUGCACACACAAUGAGGGCUAGGCCUUCAGAAUGAGGUGGGGUGCAUGGCAGAAUGAGGAGCCCUUUGGGCAUUUGAGGCACAACCCAGGAGGGCUUUCCCUGGAGCCAUCUUGCAAAAUCAUGGUGGAUUCUUGACUUGUGUGGCUUCCUGUGGAAAAGUAGGUGCCACUGGUGGAUCCUGUUAAGUGCCCUGGCAUGAGUCUUACUCAUUUCCAGUCUUCUCAAUUUCUGCACCAGGCUCAGGCCUCCGGGGGAAGUUUCUAGUAAACGCAUCCCAGAUGUGCUGUAUGAGGCUGAGCCAAGAGGGCAAGAUGACUGAUUUUUGGAAAAACAAUGCAAUUUCCAUAGAAAAGCCUCUUCUUUGGACAGAUACCACCUGGUGUUAGCAGCUUAGGGACACCAACAGCCCCUGCCCUCCCCUCCCUAGAACCAGCGAUCCUCAGACUUGGAGGGAUCCUUUCCAAACUGUGCUAGAAGCAAAGGAGAGAUGUGGCAAAAGGGGAAGAUGGGAGAUACGGCAGAAGGCAAAGUUAGAGAGAAUGUUCUCUGCUUUUAAGGGCUCAUGCAAUUAGAUGGGGUCCACCUGGAUGACCCAGGAAAAUAUCCCGAUUUUAAGGUCCUUAACCUUAAUCACAUGCAAACUCCCUUUUGACAAGUAACAUAAUGUAUUCACGAGUUCCAGGCAUUAGGGUGUGGACAUCUUUGGGAGACGUUAUUUGGCCUGCCACAGCAUUUAUGCAUUCAGUCUUUUCUCCAGGCACAUUAUCUUUGUAAGGAAAUAUUUGUAAAGUGUGCAGUAUUAUCUGCUGGCAACUUGAUAUAAUUUCUCUCCCCUAACCUAUGCUUCCCUGGCCAGCAGGGGCUGGAAGCCAGGGAGCUACAAUCCUCAGAAUCCUCGCCAGCCAAUGAGAGGCACUUUCACAAGAUUUGGCAGAUGGAAAAGAAGCAUAAAUCAUAAUAUUUUCCUGGUGGCAGCUGUGGGCAGCUGUGUGGGCUUCAGCAGAUAGGAGAUUUUUGAGAAGCCUCCAGGCAUUUUCUUUGCUUUGGUGCUAGAGGCUCAGGUAUCUUGUGGUUUCAGCAACUUCCUAACACCCUAAAAGCUAGCAAAGAAACCAAGCCAGCCUUUCCACACCUUUGUAUACACUAAUUCCCAGGGCUAAAUCCCUUUCUGCUUGCAAUGCCUAGAGUGGCUCCCAUGUUCUUAACUGACUGAUACAGAGACCUUGUUGACUGUAAUGAUUUGUAACCAGCUUGCUUUCACUUAGUAAUAGAUCAUGAAGACAAACCUGCAUGCAGAUCUUUCAGGAGUCUUAAAAUUUUCCACAAAAUGUGAGUUUUCAGGCCAGGCGCAGUGGUUCACGCCUGUAAUCCCAGCACUUUGGGAGGCUGAGGUGGGCGGAUCACUAGGACAAGAGAUCAAGACCAUCCUGGCCAACAUGGUGAAACCUUGUCUCUACUAAAAAUACAAAAAUUAGCUGGGCGUGGUGGCGCAUGCCUGUAGUCCCAGCUACUUGGGAGGCUGAGGCAGGAGAAUCGCUUGAACCCAGGAGGCAGAGGUUGCAGUGAGCUGAGAUUGUGCCACUGCACUCCAGCCUGGUGACAGAGUAAGACUCCAUCUCAAAAAAAAAAAAAAAAAAAAAAAAAGUGAGUUUUCCUGGCUGUCGGCUAUACCAUCACAUGGAUGUAUCCUAAUUUAUUUAGCCAAGACCCCAUCGUUAGACAUUCAGGUGGUUUUUUGUUUUUCACUUUUAUAACCCACACUGUCAAGAACAUCCUUGGCCAUCAAUCUGUGUGCACAGUCAGGAGUAUUUAAUUAUAAUGUAUUCUUGAAGCGCAUUUUUUAGUUAAAGGGCAUUAACUUUUUGAAAGCUUUUAUGGCUGUUUCUAGAUAAGUCAUCUGUGUUUUCUUCUCUUGGCCUCCAGGACACUGCCCUCUCCCAGUUCUCCUCCCACCUCUCUGGCUGUGCCUUCUUGGUCUCCUCAACCUCCAAACACUGGAAAGACCUAGGGCUCAGUACUGGCACAUCUUCUGUGUCUCCUCUGUGCUUACUCCCUUGGUAAACUAAGUCACUGUCAUUGCUUUAAUACUAUUUAUAUGCUCAUGACCCUUUCAUUUAUAUCUUAGGCCUGAGACUUUCCCCUGAACUCCAGACUUGUGUAUUCAAAUUGUCUGCUUAACAUCUCUUCCUGGAGGUCUAAUGAGAAGAUCAAAAUCAGUAUGUCCAAAACUGAGUGUCUGAUCUUCUCUCCCAAAUCUUCAUUCCCCAUAGUCUUCCCUCUCUCAGUAAAUGACAACUCCUUCCUCCAGCUUGCUCACACCCAGAAACCUCGGAGUCGUCCUUGACUUCUCUCUCUCUUUUCCUUACUCCCUUUGUCCAAUCAAUGAGUAAAUCCUAUCAGCUCUAUCUAUCUUCAAAAUACAUCCAUAAUCUGGCCAAGUGUGGUGGCUCAUGCCUGAAAUCCCAGCACUUUGGGAGGCCAAGGUGGGUGGAUCACUUGAGCUCAGGAGUUCGAGAUCAGCCUGGCCAACAUAGAGAAACCUGUAUCUACUAAAAAUACAAAAAAUUAGCUGGGCCUGGUAGCACACACCUGUAAUCUCAGUUACUUGGGAGGCUGACACACGACAAUCACUUGAACCCAGGAGGCAGAGGUUGCAGUGAGCCAAGAUUGCGCCACUGCACUCCAGCCUGGACGACAGAGUGAGACUCCAUAUCAAAAAGAAAAACAAAAACCAUCCGUAAUCUGACCACCUCUCACCCACUCACCAUGACCACCUGGGCCAAGCCACCUACCUCUCUCAGCUGGAUUAUUGCAUGGCCCCCAACUGGUCUUCCUGCCUGCCCCCUUGCUUAGCCAAUUCUCAGCAGUGGCCAGAGUGAUCCUGUUAAGAGCAGAUCAGAUCGUGUCACCCUUCUGCUCAGAACCCGCUGGUGGCUCCCAUUUCCUCAAGCAAAAGCUGACAUCCUUAUAGUGGCCACAAAACCUUAACCAGCCCCUACCCUAUUGCCCCCUGACCUCCUCUCCCCACCCUCGGCUCACUCAAUCCACCAAUGCACUCCAGCCACUUGAGCCUUCUUGCUGUUUCUCAAACAUCCCAAGCAAGUGCCCACAUUGAGCCGUUGCACCAGCUGUUCCCGCUGCCUAGGACACCUUCCCCAGGUGUCCAUGUAAUGGGCUCCCUUGCUUCCUACAAAUGUCCGCUUUGUACAGAAGGGGCCUUUUCUGACCUCUUCAUCUAAAAUAGCAGCCCCUAGUCAUCCUAACACUCUCCUUUUCUACUUUAGUUUUCUCCAUAGCAUGUAUCGCCAUCUAUCAAGUAUGUAUCAACAUAAACUCACCGAUUUUGUUUCCUCUGUGUCUCUUUUCAUUAAAAUGUGAGCUUUUUUAAUUUUAUUUUAUUUUUGAGACGAGUCUGGCUCUGUCGCCCAGGCUGGAGUGCAGUGGCACGAUCUCGGCUCACUGCAACCUCCGCCUCCCGGGUUCAUGCCAUUCUGCUGCCUCAGCCUCCCGAGUAGCUGGGACUACAGGCACCCACCACCACGCCCGGCUAAUUUUUUAUAUUUUUAGUAGAGACGGGGUUUCAUCGUGUUAGCCAGGAUGGUCUCGAUCUCCUGACCUCGUGAUCUGCCCUCCUCAGCCUCCCAAAAUGCUGGGAUUACAGGCGUGAGCCACCGUGCCUUGCCUAAAAUGUGAGCUCUUUGAGGGACAAAUGCUUUUUCUGUUUGGUUACUGAUAUCUGCCCUAAGAGAGUACUGGAGUGUAGCAGUUGAAUGAGGAAUAUUUCUUAAAUGAAUAAGUGAAUUUGUUAUUUUUCUUCUAGUCUACAGUCCUAAGGCAGCACAGAAGGCUCCAACAUGGACUAUUUGUAAAGCAUGUCACAGUUCACAUGUGUGUCACAGUUAACUCCACCAGAUUCUGGCAGAGAGGAGGCUGCAGUGGCAAUAAAUGUUCCCUCCUACGUGAGGGAUGUGGAUGUGUUAACUCACCUGAUGGCGGGAAUCAUGCCACAAUAUAUACAUAUAUCAAAUCAUCACAUUGGACACUUUAAAAAUAUACAAUUUUAUCUGUCAACUAUACAUCAAUAAUGCUUGAGGGGGGUGGGGAAGAGCAUUGUUUCACUGUUAACCCUUUUUGUGCCAUAGUUUUUUGUCUGUAAAAUGGGGGAAAUAGUAACAACCAUCUCAUAGAGCUGUCAGAAUUAAGUAAGAUAAUUCAUGUAAAUAAUUCACAUAGUGUCCAGCACAUAUUAAUCACAAAUAAUUGUAAGUUACUUUAUUCCCAUUUUAUAGCAGAGGAAUCUGAGGCUCAGAAAAUUUAAGAAUUUGCUACAGGUUGCACAGUGAGAGGUAGAGUGAGGUUAGAACCUGUGACUUCCAAUUCAUCAUACUUUCUCCGUUAAACUCAAGUUAUAGAAUAACCUAAUUAAGGGUGUGGGACUCUUCCCCCAAAGCCCUAAGGCCAAAAAGAGCUGUGGAGCCUCUUGAUUUCCUUCUUUUGUUUGAAUCCUCGCCAAGACAUUUCUGGCAAAGUCAUCAGCUAACCUCUAUUGGGAUAAUCUGUGCCUGGGGGACCCACUGCCUCCCAGGCUGCGUAUCCACAAUAAGGCAUUCAGUUUGUUGUGCUAUAGGAUCAAGGUGGCAGACGGUGUUAGGUGCCUGCUUUUCCUCCCCACCCUCCUUCCUAAUACAAUUCCAGCUCUCUUCAGGGCAGCAGCAGUGUGCCCAGCAAAGGCUAGACUUUCUGGGCUCCUUUGCAACUAGGGUGGGCCUAGACAUGGCCCUGGCCAUGUUUCUUUCUCCAGGCCUGAGGCCUGGUGGAGGGGGCCUGUGGGCAGCUCUAGGGAGGGUCUUGCCCCCUGAGACAUGGAGGUGGCAGGCCCAGGCUGUACUCCUGGGCUUCCCAUCCCUGGUUGUGCCAAGGAGGGGUGUGGUGGUGCUGGGGGAGGGAAGGGGGCCCUGGUGAGUGGGGAGCAUGUCCUUGCAGGAUCAACUGUAUGGUUUUCUUGCUUAAAGGGGGGAGUUUUCAGCAGGCAGCAUGCUCUGCUCUUCUCUCUCCCCACUUUUCUUGCCUGCAACGUGGAUGUGAUGGCUGGAAGUCCAACAGCCGUUCUCUGAGCAAGAACGAGGAAGCCACAAAUUCAGGCGGGAGGGGCAGAAAGCUAGAGGGAGCCUGGGCUGUGGAUGGCAGCACACACGGCUGUAACAUCAGCGGUAGCCUGCUGCCACCUUUGUGCAUCUCAUUGUGCAAGGAAAAUAAGCCCUCCUCAGUGAUGCCUCUGAAAAAACUAAAUAUCCAGCAGCAGAGGGAGGGCUAGAUAAAUUACAGCACCCAUGUGGUGUGAUACGAUGUGGCCUUGAAAAAUCGUAUUGUGCAUGACUGUUUAUUAAGGUGGGAAGUUAUUGCUGAAAAAUACGAAUGCUAAGAGUAUGUUCAGUAUAGUGUCAAUGUCAAAAAUCCGUAUACGUGCCCCGUGAUCCCCAGCUCUAGCUCUCUCAGGGUAUACUGUGCCCCAGCAGCUGCUGCUCUUAUUCUGGACUGCCACUGCUUCCCCCACUAGACCUUGUGGCCUGAAGGACAGAACUGCGUCUCGCCUUUCUGGAGCCCAAGGGCCUUGCCCAGGCCCCAGCACCGACCAGGCAGAUAGUAAACAUCUGUGGAAUAAUUGAAUGAGGAAUUGGCAGCCAGAGACUCCAUGCCACCCUUUGCUGCCUGCUCAAGGUUGGUGGCCUUGAGGGUCUGGGGUCCUCAGGUGCCUGUGUUUCCUGGUCUUGCUGACCUCUCUUGGCUGGUUCUCUGCCAGGCACUAUCACCACACUCAUGUUGGUCUCCCAGGCCAGAGGUGGUGGUCUCCACCCUUGGCUGCUUGUCAGCCUUGUCUGGGGAGUUUGAAAUAAUUACCAAUGCCUGGGUCUCACCCCAUACCAGUGGAAUGAGAAGCUCUAGGAAUGGGCUGGCUUUGAAGCCCAGGGACCAGCUGCCUGCUGCCCCUACACGGCCCCUGUGACAGACAGUGAGGAAUAGGGCUCAGUUAUGAUCCUAGAAGUGGAGCUCAGUUCUUGCCAGCCACUGCCCGCUGUAAAGAGAUCAUCCCUGCACCAUUUCACUGUACACAGGCAGGGUUCUGGCCGCCCCUGAAGGGAGCCCUCUAGGAGCAGCCAUCCCACCUGAAUGGAUGACCAUGUGGGAGUCCCAUAGGCCAGACCCUCUCUAAGACUUCACUAGAUUAACUCGUUGAGUCCUCACAGCCAGCUGUGACAUGGGUAUCACUACCACUAUUGCUGUCACCAUCUGCAUUUUACAGAGGGGCCAACUCAGACACAGAGAGGUUAACUAGCCUGCCCCAGGUCAUACACCUGGCCAGGGACAGGGUGGGGUUCCGUCCCAGGCAGCCUGGUGCCAAAGUCUGGGCUGAUGUGUCUCAGCACCUUCUAUGUGCUAGGGACCUUCCCACAAAGCAGCAGUCCCAGAAACUUGAAAGGGAGAAGGUAUGGGUAAGAAUUCAAAAGAAACAGGAAUAUUGAGAACAGCAUACUCUUCUGCACUUUUUUCCAGAUCUAUCUUGGCCGUGGGUGUCACUCCUGCAUUUGUUUCCCUCUGACCCUGUCCUUGUCCUCUCCUGCUUGUCCUUCUGGAACCCUUCCCCUUGUCCCCAAAGAACCCAAGCUCCCUUUAAUGGAAUGGUGCUGUAAUUGCAUUACCGCCAGGCCCGCUGGCUUGGCCGCCGGACGCAGGUGGGCAUCCAGUGGGUGAGGCAGGGGCAAUGGAGACAGAUGGCGCCCGAAGGGAGAUUCGAUUACCUGCUUCUUUCCCAAAGCCAAUCCGCCUGAUAACUGCGUUAUGGCCUGUUAUUGAUAGGCUUCCUCUCUGCUGCUGCUGGAGAUUUGGUUUGUCUGUGACUUUUUACAUCCGUAGGAACUCAAAGAUGAAUGAGGCAGGGCCCAGCUCGGAAGUCUAGGGAGGACAGAGGAAGGAGGUGGCAGGCAUGAGUGCUGUGGGGACCAGGGGGAGGCAGGAGGUCAGCCAGGGCCACGUUAGAGCUUGGGGUGAGGAACAUUUGGUGAGACAGUCAGAGAGGAUGGGGCUGGAGGCGGGCAUGCUGGGGCCUUCAAUGCCAGGCUGAGAAGGCUGGUUUGUGAGAAUUGGGAGCUUAUGCUAGGCUCCUGAGCAAGGACAGUGACAGGUGAAAAUGGCUUUGGGGAAGAGGAGCAAGUGGGUAUGGCAAACAUAGGGCAAGAUAAGGACUGCUGGGACCUCUGUCUGCCCCUGUGAGUACAGAGAAUGAAUCAGUGGCUCGGACUCACUGGGUUCAGACCAAGGAAAAAGGGAAGUGAGGCAGACACCCACAGACACUGGGCUAGACCCUUGCCUAUGCUAACUCUCACUCAGUCCUGGAAGCAGGCCUAUAAGGCAUCUUGGUAUAGCAACCUGGAAAUGGCAGCCUGGUGAGGAUGAGUCAUCGCGGGCUCACACAGUGGAGCGGAGGUCCCACCCGGCCAUCCUGAUGCCAACACACGUUCUCCCCAGUGAGCAGCUCGGCCUUCCAGGGCUCAAGAGGCCAGGGGUGAUGUCUGGAGGGGCAAGAAAUAGCCACACACUUUCCUAACCCCUCUUUCCUGCACUUAGAGCUCACAACAACGGCCAAUUCAACUAGCCACUGCCUCCCAAACACAUCAGCUGACACAUGUGCUCUAUCUAAAUGAUGCUCACUUGACAAACAAGGGCGUGGGGCUCAGAGAGGUCAAUGGCCUGUCUGGACCACACAGCGGCUGCAUGUGACAGGCUAAGCAGCGCUUCCACUGCAAGCCUGUCUGGUUCCCUUCACCACACUGUGUCCAUCCCCAGACUCUGGCUCCUGUAUUCCCGGACUCCACUUUCUCUAAUCCUGCGAUUAGUGAGGAGGGGGAAUUGGCAGUGUGGCUCAGAACAAGCUGCUCAGCGUGGAAACUUUCUCUGAGCAUCCCCAGGCCUGCCUCAUCCCCACUUCAUCUCCCUUUUAUAUCCCAGACCUCUCUCUCUCCAGGCCUGAGGCCUGGUGGAGAGGGCCUGUGGGCAGCUCUAGGGAGGGUCUUGCCCUGUAAGACAUGGAGGCGGCAGGCCCAGGCUGUACUCCUGGACUUCCCAUCCCUGGUUGUGCCAAGGAGGGGUGUGGUGGUGCUGGGGGAGGGAAGGGGGCCCUGGUGAGUGGGGAGCAUGUCCCUGCAGGAAGCCAAGAGUCUCGGAGGAGGACCAAGAAUGGCUGGGCCUCAGCCCAGCCCCUAAUCCCUCUGCACACCCUCCCUUCCCUAAGGAUUUUCCCUUGGAAAAAUGUGUUUAAUUUUCUCAGCUCAGAGACAAUGAAUGGAGGAUUUGGGGUGGGGUGAGGAUGGGUGAUGGAGGAGGCCCAUGGAGUUUGCCAUGGGAAAAGACGAGCAAAUGGCAAAACCAGUUUCUGACAUGCCCCCUCCUCAGAAAGAAGCUGGAAGCUCAAGCCUGACUAUAGGACCAGCACAGCCCCUGGCCAGCCGCAUGCUGCAGAGGCUCUGGCUGACUGUCUCUGCUCGCCUGUUCUGUUGUUUGCAUGUUCUCAGAAUAGGAGACCCCUAAAGACAGAAACUGCAUGUGUCCUGCGCAGGAAAUCUUGUAUUGGUGAGUGUAAUUACUGUGGUGGGGUGGACAGUGACAGAGGUGGUCAUAGUGGUGGAGGCCACGGUGGGCGUGAUGACGGUGACAGUGUAGUGGUGACGGGGGUGGUCAUAGUCAUGGAAAACCCUGAAACCAUGAUGAGCACGGGGAGAGGGGGCAGAGGUUGAGAGAUGGGCUUCGUAACUUGACAAACCUGGGUGUCCAUCCCAGGCCUAUCUCUCUCUAGCAGUCACCUGGGCAAGUCAGCCUCUCUGAGUCUCACUUUCCUCAUCGGAAAAAUGGGAUUCACAGGAGCUAUUGUGGAGUGUAGGGAUCUGAACACUGCUACCCAGGGUGGGCACUGACUCCCUCAGAUUUUUUCAUUUCAUGGGGUUUAUUAGCCCCUCUGUCUGCCCAAGAGCCUUCCCUUCCGCCCACAAACUUCCUCCAGUUGUUCCCACUAGCUCUUCCCUGAAUCACCACCUCAAUUCCUUCCUUCCUUCAGAGCCCCACACAUUCUCAAAAAGAAGUCUACACACACUGCCUCUAUUUCCUGACCUCCCACUUGUUCCUAGGCCCUCUCAGCAGCCUUCUGGUUCCAAACCCUAUGGAAACUGCGCUCACCAAGUCAGCAGAGGCCUCCUCCUCUCAGCCUCAACUUCUUGGGGGAAAUUGGUUCUAGGGCCAGCAAGACUUCCAAAGAGCCUCUUCCCAGCAGGUUCAACCUCCCAUCAUCUGAAAGUCUUUCUGCUCCCCUCAGGGAUCCCCCACCAAGCCCUCUGCCCCUGAAGGUUGGUGCUCUGAGGGCAUCCUCCUCUCUCUGUGCACUCGCCAUCAGAGUGGUUUAGCUCCCCUUGUUCCAAUUCCAGUUGGCCACAAGCAGCUCCCAAGUCAAUUUCUCUGGUUCACUGUCCAUUAGUUGACCCAGCUAGAACCCCACCCCUGGCUCCUGACGCCUCUCCUGCUGGACUCUUCAGCAUGUUGGAUGAAGGCCAUUAGUGCUGAACUCACCAUACUCUUCCAAGAUCUGCCUGCUCCUCCCCAUCACCCCAGAGCAAGCCCUUGGCUCCUCUCCCCUUCCUAGAAACUCCCACCAGUGUUGUCAGUUCUCUUGGGUCAUGAUUCCUUAAAAAUGAACACAGAAUCUAAUUUUAUUUUCAAAACAUGAAAACAGUUCACCAUUUAACUUUGCUCUUAUUAAGUCUAUUAUCCUGAUUCAUCCUCUUUGGUAUUAAAGUCAAUAAAUCGUAUAAAUCUUGAAACUUUUUUAACUCAGAAAAAUAAAUUCUGUUAUGACAAUCCUUGACAUGUUAAUCUGUGUUGUGUAAACUGUUAGCUUUAAAACACAAAAUGCUUUUUUUAACAUGGUUGUGUCUUAGAAACUUCCUGCACAUCAUUGUGCUUGCUUUUAGUAACAGCAGACUAGGUAAUGGUGAUCAACCUUCUUGCUGAGGGCAACUAGAAGAGCUAUAUAUUUUUUUAAAAACUACCACUACCACCACAACACCAGACCAUUUGAAGCAUCUGAGCACUAAUAAGACAAACAAGAUAGUAGACAAUUAUUGAGCUAGGAUAUGGAGAGGACUGAGACUAGGGAGGUGAGCUUGGCUUAUUUUUUUUUGAGACAGGGUCUUACUCUGUUGCUCAGGCUGGGGUGCACUGAUGUGAUCACAGCUCACUGCAGCCUUAACCUCCUCAGCUCAAGCAAUCCUUUUGCCUCAGCCUCCUGAGUAGGUGGGGUCACAGGUGUGCACCACCACACUCAGCUAAUUAAAAUUUUUUUUGUAGAGAUAGGGUCUUGCUAUGUUGCCCAGGCUGGUCUGGAACACCUGGCCCAAGUGAUCCUCCUGCCUCAGCCUCCCAAACUGCUGGGCUUAUAGACUUAAGUCACUGCACCUGGCUGAGCUUGGCUUUUAAAUGCUUUUCCUCUGGGAAUGGAGGGAGUGAGUGACUGAGAGGUUGAAAGGUUAAUCAGCGCUUUUGAGGAUCUGGGGAUAUGAGACAAAGCCUACCAAGAGGAGUAUUUGGUAAACCUCCUUGCUUUGGAUUGAGACCCCAAAGGGCUGUGCCUGAGGACUAAGGAUAAACUGGAAGUAGACAGGUUCUUACAGUGACUGCCGCUCUGCUUAGACUCAUCUCAAUUCCUGAAAUUGGAUUAAGGCGAUCCAAUGUUGCUAGUGCCCUCAGGGUCUUGCAAAUCCUCUCUGGAAGAAGAUGUCAUCCUGGUGUCAGAUAAUUUCUACAAACAACUUUGCACCUGCAAUGUCCAGAACACACACACACACACACACACACACACACACACAAACAAAAACAACUCACAAAAAAACAAAUAAAACACACACAUACACACAACAAACCAAAACCAACACCAAAAACCAAACACAUGAGACUGGACAACAUGAACAAACAUAAAAGCAUAUACAGCAGGGGUUCUAGAUGUUGGAAUUAUCAGAUGCAGAUUUUAUAAUUAAAAAAACAGCAAUGCUUAUUAUGUUCAAAGAGAUAAAAAUACAUGAUGGAAAUAGACAUGGUUUGAGAAUUUUGGCAGGGAAUUGAAACUUUGUUAAAAAAAUUAAAAUUCUAGAACUGAAAAUUAUAAUACCCAAGACUAAGGAUUCAAUGGAUAGGUUUAAAAGUAUAUGAAACAUAGCUGAAGAAAGAAUUACUGAAUUAGAAGCUAGAUUAGAAAAAAUAUCCAGGCCAGACAUAGUAGCUCACGCCUGUAAUCCCAUCACUUUGGGAGGCCGAGGUGGGUGGAUCACUUGAGGUCAGGAGUUUGAGACCAGCCUGGCCAACAUGGUGAAACCCUGUCUCUGCUAAAAAUACAAAAAUUAGCUGGGUGUGGUGGUGCAUUCCUGUGGUUCCAACGACUUGGGAGGCUGAGGCAGGAGAAUCGCUUGAACCCAGGAGGCAGAGGUUGCAGUGAGUCGAGAUCAUGUCACUGCACUCCAGCCUGGGUGACAGAGUGAGACUCCAUCU